UUCCCUUCGUCCAUUUAUUUAUAUGACACUCAAGCACAUAAUCCUUAAUUGGCUUCCGGAUCCCACCAUGCGCCCAUUCUCAUGAGGAUGUGGUUCCAUCUUGAAUCGUAGGCGUGCAGGACAGUAGGCCUCGAGAGUUCCGAUAAUUUCUUUCCGUAAGGGUAACCUGCGGAGGGAUCAUUACCGAGUUUACAACUCCCAAACCCCUGUGAACAUACCACUUGUUGCCUCGGCGGAUCAGCCCGCUCCCGGUAAAACGGGACGGCCCGCCAGAGGACCCCUAAAACUCUGUUUCUAUAUGUAACUUCUGAGUAAAACCAUAAAUAAAUCAAAACUUUCAACAACGGAUCUCUUGGUUCUGGCAUCGAUGAAGAACGCAGCAAAAUGCGAUAAGUAAUGUGAAUUGCAGAAUUCAGUGAAUCAUCGAAUCUUUGAACGCACAUUGCGCCCGCCAGUAUUCUGGCGGGCAUGCCUGUUCGAGCGUCAUUUCAACCCUCAAGCACAGCUUGGUGUUGGGACUCGCGUUAAUUCGCGUUCCUCAAAUUGAUUGGCGGUCACGUCGAGCUUCCAUAGCGUAGUAGUAAAACCCUCGUUACUGGUAAUCGUCGCGGCCACGCCGUUAAACCCCAACUUCUGAAUGUGACCUCGGAUCAUG
rnacentral:rRNA from 1 species